AUUGAACGCUGGCGGCAGGCCUAACACAUGCAAGUCGAGCGGAGCGGCGUACGGGUGAGUAAUGCCUAGGAAUCUGCCUGGUAGUGGGGGAUAACGUCCGGAAAAGGGCGCUAAUACCGCAUACUAUCAGAUGAGCCUAGGCCGGAUUAGCUAGUUGGUGGGGUAAAGGCCUACCAAGGCGACGAUCCGUAACUGGUCUGAGAGGAUGAUCAGUCACACUGGAACUGAGAAAGGGUCCAGACGCCUAGGGGAGGAAGCAGUGGGGAAUAUUGGACAAUGGGCGAAAGCCUGUGCCAGCCAGGCCGCGUGUGUGAAGAAGUUCUUCGGAUUGUAAAGCACUUUAAGUUGGGAGGCGUUACCAACAGAAUAAGCACCGGCUAACUUCGUGCCAGCCGCCGCGGUAAUU
rnacentral:rRNA from 1 species